AUUGAACGCUGGCGGCAGGCCUAACACAUGCAAGUCGAGCGCGCGGCGGACGGGUGAGUAAAGUAUGGGGACUGCCCGAUAGAGGGGGAUAACUACUGGAAACGGUGGCUAAUACCGCAUACUGUCGCAGAACCCAUAUGGGAUUAGCUAGUAGGUAAGGUAAUGGCUUACCUAGGCGACGAGCCCUCGCUGGUCUGAGAGGAUGAUCAGCCACACUGGGACUGAGACACGGCCCAGACUCCUACGGAGGCAGCAGUGGGGAAUAUUGCACAAUGGGCGCAAGCCUGAUGCAGCCAUGCCGCGUGUAUGAAGAAGGCCCUAGGGUUGUAAAGUACUUUCAGUCGGGAGGCGUUACCGACAGAAGAAGCACCGGCUAACUCCGUGCCAGCAGCCGCGGUAAUUC
rnacentral:rRNA from 1 species